UCUCAGGUGGCAGACGUGGGUCAGGUUCUGGAGAACAUCAACCUGUCGAAGAGGAAGGAGCUGCAGUGGCCCGACGAGACGAUGAGACUGAGAGCAGGACGGACCUGCUGGAGGGACUGGAGCCCCUCGGAGGGGAUGGAGGGACACGUGAUUCACCGGUGGGUGCCUUGUAGCCGAGACCCGGCCCAUCGCUCCCAUAUCGACAAGACCAUCCUGCUGGUUCAGGUGGACGAUAAGCUAGUGCCCAUUUUUGAGACUGGGGUCAUUGAGUUGGGUGCAGAGGUCUGAGACAAACACACACACACACACACACACACACACACACACUCGUACUUGUGUGUGAAGGAGAAGCAGGAUUCUGCAGACUGACAGGAAACGGGAGCUCUCCCCCCUCCCGCGUUCCUUAUAUCGCUGAGGGGGAAAAGGAAGCCAGGGAAAAGUGCAAGUCGAGGCAGAGCGUAGAUCCAUGUUUCCUGCAUCAUCCUCACAGUAUCUGCCUUGCUGCAUGACAGAGAAAGUUAAGUUAGUUCUGCUACUGGUGAUUAAUUUCUAUGCAUUUCAUCCAAUAUGUUCUUGGCAAGUCUGACAGAGAUGAGUGUAAAGAGACGUUGUUUUGUUUGUCUAAUUUGCCAAAUGAAGCCUGGUAUUGAAUAUCUGCCACGGCUUCUCACAAAACUUUCAUUAUUCUUUUUUUGCUGCCAAGACUUCAGAGGAAGCUCCGCCUUCUCGUUGUCGUCAUUCCUUUGGAUUUCAAACUUUUAGCAAGAUGAUUUUGCGCAAAGAAAAAACGACCUUGCACUAUAAUUUGUAUUUGUAUUUACAGUGAUGCACUACACUGUUGAGAUAAUGUCCCAUUUUAUUUAUUACGGACUCUGAAUGGCCAUGGUUACCGAUGCCUUGGGAA